GUGUGGCUUGGCAGAGGCGUCGUUCUUGGUGGUUGAGCCGCUGAUGCAGAAGAUUCAUGGAGAGAUUUGUUGGGUGGACGCCGACAUCCUUGCCGCCGUCCGGUUGCAGGGUAGUGCUUACAAAAAGAGGCAAGCUGAAGAGGAAGGUUGGAAGAAGGAGAGUUAUGAUUGCCUCUUCCUCCUGUUGCUAAGGCAAAAGGACCAAGUGCGGGCGGGUGAGCAUCAGGAGUCCAGUUGAUUGGCUUCGGCCUUUGAGUUGCUGCUGGCUAGCGGUGCUGCUUCUGAGCGUCUCCUCACCCCUCACUCAUGUGCCUCCUUCAACUGGUGGCACUUUUGCUUGUGUCUUGUUAUCUUUUCGAAAUGGUGAAGCUGACAAUGAUAGCCUGUAUCACCGAUGACCUUUCAUUUGCGGAGUGCUUAGAUGGUGGUUAUGUUAAGGAUGUUGUCUUCUACAAGCAGCAAGCAAAAUUAGUCACCUUGCCUCUCUUGCACUUAGCAUUGUCUAAUUAGACUUUUCAAAAUGAUUAUCCAGGACUGCUUGGCCUCUCGUUUCGAUUAGCCUAUCAUUUAAGUUGGAAACACCAGAAUUGACGCUUGCGUAUGAGUAGGUACCAACUCUCUUCUUUACUCUUUCAUGGUGAAUCCAUUUUUAUUAUCCCCUGUUUGAUAGUUUUUUCUCCUCUUGACCCAAAUAAAGAGAUUUGAUGUGAUGAUUGAGGUAGAAGGCUAGCUGAACAUAUUGAUCAAAUGUCUGCUGAUGUACUUUAUUAUUCUUUGUUUCAUUGUUUUUUGUAUGGUGACCGUGAGCUCUAUAGGUAGAGGAGCAGAGGACAUAAAGGUGCAUAGCUAUUUUGUCACUACUAAUAUAUAUGACUAAUUAAUGCCCACAAAGUUUUAAUGAGAUAAUAAUGAGAGAUUAUCAAAGAACAGAGCUCUCUGGUACUUCAUAUAUGUGAUCCUUUUAGCAGCCCACAAGAUGUCUCUGGACAUGCUCAUAAGAGGAUAGGAUGUGAUACGUGUUUGCUCAAACGGUCCAAGACUUGGAUGAACAGUUGGAAUAAAGGAUCUCUCUCUGUAUCCACCUUGGAAAAAAUAGAAUCAACCCUUCCUCUUAUUAAUCAUGUGCAGCCUCUUUAAUUUGCCUUCCUAGCCUGUGUCAUUUGGUUCUGAUUUUUUUUCUGCUAUACAACUUAACAAUUUAAUUUCGUGUGUCAUGUGCAGAGAGGUCCAGGAUGAUCUGAGACACAUGGGUUUCCUGUUCUCAACUUCUCAUGUUUGAUUUUAAUUCUUUUGCUUUUUGGUUAACCAGAGCUCAGAAUCAAGAUUAAGAAAGUAGUUGAGCACAAAGCAAACAAGGUGAUGUUUGCCCAUAGAUGCCUGAUGAUGAUCAUUUCCUGGUGAGUUUGUGUUGCCCAUAGAGAACUUGAAAUAGUCAUGGCUGGACCUAUGAAUGAAACAAUAACAGUCAUGCAUUCGGUAUGCUCUUGGUAGAUAUUUUCUGAUUAUGCUUGU